GCUUAACACAUGCAAGUCGAGCGGUAAGGCCCUUCGGGGUACACGAGCGGCGAACGGGUGAGUAACACGUGGGUGAUCUGCCUCGCACUCUGGGAUAAGCCUGGGAAACUGGGUCUAAUACCGGAUAUGACCACUGGUCGCAUGGUUGGUGGUGGAAAGAUUUAUCGGUGCGAGAUGAGCCCGCGGCCUAUCAGCUUGUUGGUGGGGUAAUGGCCUACCAAGGCGACGACGGGUAGCCGGCCUGAGAGGGCGACCGGCCACACUGGGACUGAGACACGGCCCAGACUCCUACGGGAGGCAGCAGUGGGGAAUAUUGCACAAUGGGCGAAAGCCUGAUGCAGCGACGCCGCGUGAGGGAUGACGGCCUUCGGGUUGUAAACCUCUUUCGACAGGGACGAAGCGCAAGUGACGGUACCUGUAGAAGAAGCACCGGCCAACUACGUGCCAGCAGCCGCGGUAAUACGUAGGGUGCGAGCGUUGUCCGGAAUUACUGGGCGUAAAGAGCUUGUAGGCGGCUUGUCGCGUCGAUCGUGAAAACUCACAGCUCAACUGUGAGCUUGCGGUCGAUACGGGCAGGCUUGAGUACUGCAGGGGAGACUGGAAUUC
rnacentral:rRNA from 1 species